rnacentral:rRNA from 1 species
AUUGAUGGUGCUUGCACCUGAUUGACGAUGGAUCACCAGUGAGUGGCGGACGGGUGAGUAACACGUAGGUAACCUGCCCCGGAGCGGGGGAUAACAUUUGGAAACAGAUGCUAAUACCGCAUAACAACAAAAGCCACAUGGCUUUUGUUUGAAAGAUGGCUUUGGCUAUCACUCUGGGAUGGACCUGCGGUGCAUUAGCUAGUUGGUAAGGUAACGGCUUACCAAGGCGAUGAUGCAUAGCCGAGUUGAGAGACUGAUCGGCCACAAUGGAACUGAGACACGGUCCAUACUCCUACGGGAGGCAGCAGUAGGGAAUCUUCCACAAUGGGCGCAAGCCUGAUGGAGCAACACCGCGUGAGUGAAGAAGGGUUUCGGCUCGUAAAGCUCUGUUGUUGGAGAAGAACGUGCGUGAGAGUAACUGUUCACGCAGUGACGGUAUCCAACCAGAAAGUCACGGCUAACUACGUGCCAGCAGCCGCGGUAAUACGUAGGUGGCAAGCGUUAUCCGGAUUUAUUGGGCGUAAAGCGAGCGCAGGCGGUUGCUUAGGUCUGAUGUGAAAGCCUUCGGCUUAACCGAAGAAGUGCAUCGGAAACCGGGCAACUUGAGUGCAGAAGAGGACAGUGGAACUCCAUGUGUAGCGGUGGAAUGCGUAGAUAUAUGGAAGAACACCAGUGGCGAAGGCGGCUGUCUGGUCUGCAACUGACGCUGAGGCUCGAAAAGCAUGGGUAGCGAA